rnacentral:misc_RNA from 1 species
AAAGUCGUAACAAGGUUUCCGUAGGUGAACCUGCGGAAGGAUCAUUACAAAUCCACGUCUCUUUAUCGAGACAUGUUGAAAUGUUUUACAGAGUGAGAGAGAGAGACACUGUGGUGUGCUCUCUCUCGCUCUAAAUCAUUGACAAGUGUUGAUCAGUUGUAUUUUUCAAUAAUCUUGACACAACUUAUAACAAUGGAUCUCUAGGCUCUU